CGGGAAGUAGCGCAGCUUGGUUAGCGCACCUGGUUUGGGACCAGGAGGUCGCGGGUUCGAAUCCCGCCUUCCCGA
rnacentral:tRNA from 1 species